GGCGUGGCUCAAUGGUAGAGUAGAAGCUUACCAAGCCUAUGAUGAGGCUUCGAUUUCCUUAUCCCCG
rnacentral:tRNA from 1 species